rnacentral:tRNA from 1 species
GGGGCACUGGCGCAACUGGCAGCGCACCGCUUUUGCAAGGCGGGGGUUAGGGGUUCGAGUCCCCUGUGCUCCAC